AUAAUUUACUCUCAAUCUAUUUUUCCUUAAUUAUUUCUUUAUUAUGUUCUUAGGCGUUAUUAUUCUAAAAUUAAUCUUUUUUUAAAGUAUCUAUAUAAAUAUAGAAUCGAGAGUAUGUACGGUGGGCUCCCCGCGUUUUGCGGGGGACUCGCGAGAGAGAGAGAGAGAGGGAGAGAGAGAGAACAGAGGGAGGAGGGAGAGAGAGCAUACAGAGAGAGGGGGAGAGAGAGAGAGAACAGAGGGAGAGAGAGAGAGAGCAGAGUAGAAGGGAGAGAGAGAGAGAGAGCCAGGAAGAGAGGAAGAGAGAAAGGAAAAGAAAGAGAGAGAGGGGGGAGGG
rnacentral:lncRNA from 1 species